rnacentral:rRNA from 1 species
CAGCCGCCGCGGUAAUACGUAGGGUGCAAGCGUUAAUCGGAAUUACUGGGCGUAAAGCGUGCGCAGGCGGUUAUAUAAGACAGAUGUGAAAUCCCCGGGCUCAACCUGGGAACUGCAUUUGUGACUGUAUAGCUAGAGUACGGCAGAGGGGGAUGGAAUUCCGCGUGUAGCAGUGAAAUGCGUAGAUAUGAGGAGGAACACCGAUGGCGAAGGCAAUCCCCUGGGCCUGUACUGACGCUCAUGCACGAAAGCGUGGGGAGCAAACAGGAUUAGAUACCCCCGUAGUCCCUGUCUCUUAUAC